UAUGGCCACAUCAUGUUGAAACACUGGUUUCUGUAUGAUCACCAAAGUCAAGCAACGUUGAUCCUAGUCAGUACCUAUAUGGGUAACUGCUUGGGAAUACCAGGAGCUGUAAG